UACGUAGGGGGGCAAGCGUUGUCCGGAUUUAUUGGGCGUAAAGCGCUCGCAGGUGGUUCGUUGCGUCGUGCGUGAAAAGACCCCCGGCUCAACUGGGGGAGUGUCGUGCGAUACGGGGCGAACUGGAGGCCAGUAGGGGGGAUGCGGAAUUCCGGGGUGUAGUGGUGGAAUGCGUAGAGAUCCGGAGGAACACCAGCGGCGAAGGCGGCAUCCUGGACUGGUCCUGACAC
rnacentral:rRNA from 1 species